AGGAGCUGAGGAUUCGAAUAGCAGUGCUUCUUACUAGAUUUUGCUGAGAACUUCUUGUGAUGACUAAAGCUUUUGUUUUUUCAUGCGGAAUACUUCCAUUUUGGAAGGUCAAGGAUUUUGCAGUGGUAACAGUUGAUUUACAAAGAGUGACUUGUAUGUUAAAUAUCAACACCUACAAUUUGAGAUUAUUGUGUAGGAGGAAAUGCUUUCAUUGCAUUAAUAGGAGUAAUCGUGUGAGUUUUUGUUCUUUUGACAUAUUGAUAAUGCUUAUUAUGGUUUGAUGGUCUUCCGUAUGUUUUUGUAGAUUACUUCUAAAAUUUGUGAACUUAGGUUGUUUGAAAUCCUGUUAUGACCAGUUGACAAAGAUUUUUUGGCCAAAAA